rnacentral:rRNA from 1 species
GACUACCAUGGCAAUUACGGGUAACGGGGAAUUAGGGUUCGAUUCCGGAGAGGGAGCCUGAGAAACGGCUACCACAUCUAAGGAAGGCAGCAGGCGCGUAAAUUACCCAAUCCUGAUUCAGGGAGGUAGUGACAAGAAAUAAAAACCUGGAGUUUAACAACUUCCGGGAUUGCAAUGAAAACAAUGUAAAAAACUUAUUGAGGAACAAUUGGAGGGCAAGUCUGGUGCCAGCAGCCGCGGUAAUUCCAGCUCCAAUAGCGUAUAUUAAAGUUGUUGCAGUUAAAAAGCUCGUAGUUGAACUUCUCGUGGGCCGCCGCUUGCGGAAAGGACCAUGAUCCGCUGGGGACUCUGUGUUCCUUUACUGGUUCGCUUACAUUCCCAGCAGUUUACUUUGAAAAAAUUAGAGUGUUCAAGGCAGGCUUUCGCCAUGGAUACACAAGCAUGGAAUAAUGGAAAAGGACUGAAUCCAUUUUAUUGGUUAUUGGGUUUAGUAAUGAUUAACAGGGACAGUUGGGGGCAUUAGUACUUAAUAGUCAGAGGUGAAAUUCUUGGAUUUAUUAAAGACUAACUUAUGCGAAAGCAUUUGCCAAGGAUGUUUUCAUUAAUCAAGAACGAAAGUUAGGGGAUCAAAGACGAUCAGAUACCGUCCUAGUCUUAACUAUAAACUAUACCGACUAGAGAUUGGCUGAGCAAACAAGCCCAGCCAGCAUCUAAUGAGAAAUCAAAGUCUUUGGGUCCUGGGGGGAGUAUGGUCGCAAGGCUGAAACUUAAAGGAAUUGACGGAAGGGCACCACCAGGAGUGGAGCCUGCGGCUUAAUUUGACCCAACACGGGGAAACUUACCAGGUCAAAACAUGGUUGGGAUUGACAGAUUGAGAGCUCUUUCUUGAUUCUAUGGGUGUGGUGCAUGGCCGUUCUUAGUUGGUGGAGUGAUUUGUCUGGUUAAUUCCGUUAACGAACGAGACCUUAACCUGCUAACUAGUUGGCUUCUGUGGAAGGAGCUCAACUUCUUAGAGGGACUAAGCAUGCAAGUGCUUGGAAGUUUGAGGCAAUAACAGGUCCGUGAUGCCCUUAGAUGUCCUGGGCCGCACGCGUGCUACACUGACACACUCAGCGAGUCCCCCUGGCCCGGAAGGGCUGGGUGAUCUGCAGUGUGUGUCGUGCUGGGGAUCGAUCUUUGCAAUUAUGGAUCAUGA